GAGUUUGAUCUUGGCUCAGGACGAACGCUGGCGGCGUGCCUAAUACAUGCAAGUCGAGCGGUCCCUUCGGGGAUAGCGGCGGACGGGUGAGUAACACGUAGGCAACCUGCCUGUAAGAUCGGGAUAACGUAUCGGAAACGAUAGCUAAGACCGGAUAACUGGUUUCUCGCAUGGGAGAGUCAUGAAACACGGAGCAAUCUGUGGCUUAUAGAUGGGCCUGCGGCGCAUUAGCUAGUUGGUGAGGUAAUGGCUCACCAAGGCGACGAUCAGUAGCUGGUCUGAGAGGAUGAUCAGCCACAUUGGGACUGAGACACGGCCCAAACUCCUACGGGAGGCAGCCAGUGGGGAAUAUUGGACAAUGGGCGCAAGCCUGAUCCAGCCCAUGCCGCGUGAGUGAUGAAGGCCCUAGGGUUGUAAAGCUCUUUUGUGCGGGAAGAUAAUGACGGUACCGCAAGAAUAAGCCCCGGCUAA
rnacentral:rRNA from 1 species